AAUUUUGGACAAUGGGCGAAAGCCUGAUCCAGCAAUGCCGCGUGAGUGAUGAAGGCCUUAGGGUUGUAAAGCUCUUUUACCCGGGAUGAUAAUGACAGUACCGGGAGAAUAAGCCCCGGCUAACUCCGUGCCAGCAGCCGCGGUAAUACGGAGGGGGCUAGCGUUGUUCGGAAUUACUGGGCGUAAAGCGCACGUAGGCGGUUUCUCAAGUCAGAGGUGAAAGCCCGGGGCUCAACUCCGGAAUUGCCUUUGAAACUAGGAAACUUGAACACGGGAGAGGUGAGUGGAAUUCCGAGUGUAGAGGUGAAAUUCGUAGAUAUUCGGAAGAACACCAGUGGCGAAGGCGGCUCACUGGACCGUUGUUGACGCUGAGGUGCGAAAGCGUGGGGAGCAAAC
rnacentral:rRNA from 1 species